UAGUAGCUAGCAAGAUAAGAUAAUUCUAUAUUUAAAAAAUAUAUCUACUAUAUUAUUUUUUAGAUAUUAUAGAUAUAAUAAUCAGAGUUAUUAUCUUGUUUUCUCCCAAAUUUCUUUUCCUAGAGUCGUAUGAUGGAAGAGCACAAGAAAGAGUUUGUGCCGACAAUGGAAUCUUUGCCUGCUGGUUACGUCUUCAAACCAUCUGAUGAUCAGCUUGUUGUACACUAUUUGAAGAGAAAAGUGUACAAAAAACCAUUGCCGUCUUGCAAAAUCAAGGAGAUUCAAUUCUACAAUUAUGAUCUUGAAACUCUUAUAAAACUAUCAGAAGAGACUAACAACAAGUCAUCAAGACAAGUGAGUGAAUGGUAUUUCUUCACACCAAGAGAUCGUAAAUAUGGCACUGGCUCAAGACCAAGGCUAGUAGGUGGUAAUGGAUUUUGGAAGGCCAUUGAAGCAAAAAAACCCGUUAAGUUCAAAGGGAAUAUAGUUGGAUUCAAGAAGAAAUUAGCCUUCUACAACGGGAAACCAGCUAAGGGUGACAAGACUAAUUGGAUAAUGCAAGAAUUUGUAUUAAGCAAUCCUCCAGCAACUGAAAGAGCUGGCGAUGAUGAUCAGAAGGUUCCAUAAAAAAAAUCUAUUGAGAAAUCUUCUCACCGCAUUGAAGCUCGGGACACCAAAUUUUCAUGGGUGCUCAAAGAACCAGUGAAAAAUUGGCCGGCCUCAACUAAAGCUUCCAUGCGAUGGAAAGGCCUCUCACUGCAUUGGAGUGCUUCAGCAAACAAAGCCCAAGUGGAAUACUUGAUGAUUGGGUAUUGUGCAAAGUGUACAAGCUUAGAGAUACCAAACUCAAGUUCAGAAAAUCUGAGAUUGUGGACUGAAAGCUUUCUCAUGUCAGUCGGAGCACGAAAUGGUAAAUACUGUGAUAAAAGUGAGAAUGAGACAGGCUAUAGCCGAUAUCAAGGCCCACUAAACGGUUUCUUAGUCCCAAAACUUUAGGCCUGGUAUCUCCAGGCCUCACAAGGGAUGGUGAUGAUUUUGAAGGUUUAUGGACCAAGCCAGUAAAUAGAAUUUAUUGUUUUUUGUUUUUCUUUUGCCAUAUUUGUUUACUUGCGUUGAGGGGAGAUAAUAGAAAGGAAAGUAAAGCAGGAAAACAACAAAACAUUUCUCUUAUUUGGCUAUCAUUUCUUCCACAUGAUGAUGUUUUGAAAUAUCUAGGAAGUUUCCUUUGUUCUUUUUAUAAAAGAAUCUGUCACAAAUUAUAAUAUUUA